rnacentral:rRNA from 1 species
UACGUAGGGUGCGAGCGUUAAUCGGAAUUACUGGGCGUAAAGCGCGCGUAGGCGGUUCGAUAAGUCGGGUGUGAAAGCCCUGGGCUUAACCUGGGAAUUGCAUUCGAUACUGUCGAGCUAGAGUGUGGUAGAGGGAAGUGGAAUUUCCGGUGUAGCGGUGAAAUGCGUAGAUAUCGGAAGGAACAUCAGUGGCGAAGGCGGCUUCCUGGACCAACACUGACGCUGAGGUGCGAAAGCGUGGGGAGCAAACAGG